rnacentral:lncRNA from 1 species
GUGACUUGUUUCUGGAUGAUUCUAAGAGGUUAUCAAUACUCUGGCUGACCAUCGUCAUCGUGGGACUGACUUUGGUGGAAGUCCUUGGUUACUUAUCAUUACUGUGUUUCUGAGAAGUUAUAAAUUUGCCAUCUCCCUCUGCACAAGUUACCUUUGUGUGAGUAUACUAACUUUCUGUAGAGGUAUACUUGUAAUCACAAAUAAGAAUAAAUUAUAUGAAAC